AAAUGGGGUUUUGCAAGCCAUUCAACACAACUAAGUCAUUUUUAGAUAAAGAUUGUAAGGUUUUUUGUUUUUGUUUUUUUCAAUAAUUCACAUGAUAAUAAAGAUAUUUUCUUUUUUUAUAACAGUGACUGGAUCCUGCACAAAAUUCAUCGGUUAAGCUAAAGUGGAAACGCUAAUCAUUGCCAGGAACUAAAGACUUGAAUAUAUGAUUGAUUGCUUUAUCACACCAGAAUGUGACCAGAAAUAUGAAAAUAUUGGUUCACACAGAUUUCCCCACAAUGACGAGUUCACAGGUUGUUUUCUUCCUGGUCCAUCAGAUAUGACAAAGCAUGCCAUUUGUGGUUCAUCAACCCGACAAGACUAUAAUAUUCUGUAUGAUUUAUGGUAAAAAUGCAUCUCGAAUUCCUGAGACUUUCAAAAAUUCAAGAUUAGUUAUGUACAAGUGUGAGCAUUUUAAAAUAUCUAAAAUGUGAGGAUACCAUGUCCAGAAGAUCGCUGGUGUACAACUUGGGCUGAAAUUACAAAAUAUAUUUUAUAACUUAACAAACUUGUGUUGAGUCGAAUUACAAAAUUUUAUGAAAGACACAAUGUUUGCUUUGACAAUUGGGACAUGUUCAAUUCUAUCUACAAUUUAUUUAAAAUAAUAAACAUAUCUAAUGGUUGAGAUACGUUAAAGAUUACAUAAAAUCAUUUAAAACAAGUAAUAUAAUGCAUAGCAUGUGCUGUCUUUGGAGUUAAAUGACUGAAUUCAAAUGGUUGACAAGUUAGAGCCUUAUUUCACCGAAAAUGUUUUGGUUUUUUUUUUUUGGGGGGGGGGGGGGGGAUUAUGAAGAUUUUAUCAAAACUAAAUUCUCAAUUCAUGAAACAAAUUUGUAAUAAAAUUCUUUCCAUUGUACCAUUAAUUUAAAUACUGCAACUAUAGAAUUGUUGGAAAAUUGUGAUUAGUUUAAGUUAAAACAUUUACAAAAUGUUACUAGGAAUUUAUUGUAAAUUGUAACAAAAUUAAGACCAGUCCCUACAGAAACACACACAUUACAGUACAGGUAUAUAUAGGACCAUGUGGCCAUGUGUGUUUUUGUUAUAGUAUACAAUACAACAGUAAGUAGACAUAAUGUAAACAUAGAAAAUAGAAACCAGAAUUCUUACCAUAUGACAAUUAUGUAUACAUGCAAGUAAUGGCAUGGUGAACUAUUUAUAAAAGGAUUGUACUAGGCACCAGAUUUUUUUUUUUUAAGAAUAAAGGUUGAAAGUAUGUGUAGCUCAAGUUCUUCAAUGCUAUUGUCUGGCCCUAGUUCUAUGUUAAACUGUUCCAUAUACAUGUAA